ensembl:lncRNA
UGCUCCCUCCAGCCCUCCACCUGCUGCUCUCUGCUCAGGCCCUCCCCUGAGAUGACUAGUGAAAGCCUGAAGUCCUCUUAAGCCAGUGUGAUGUCAUCAUCACCAUGCAAAAGAACUCCUUUCCUAAAUGAAAUCAUAUAAGAAAAACACAACAUGAAGAAGAAAUCAAAGGAAUAAAGAAAGCUCUGGGCAGAUUACAUCUUUAUUGUUCAGCGAUACUCUUUUGUAUGGAAUCUCCUUGCCUUUAUCACCAUCACGCCUCCAGCUCUUCUGUAGACCCCAGGACUGAAAGUACAAAGCAAUGACUCUAAGGAAAGGGUUCAAGCUGAGAUGAAGGUUGUGACCCCGUGUCCUGAUCUUUUCCAAAUUCCUGGAGUUUCCCAAGAUCUCCAGAGGGAGACAGUCACUUCAGCAUCAGCCAGAACGGACACCAGGCAAGAAGAAUCAUAAAUUAACAGCAGGAAGGCAGUCUUGGGGCUGAUGGGGGAACACCAUUGUGUAUGCAUGCAUGCACAUGUGUGUGUCUGU